AGAUUGAACGUUGGCGGCAUGCCUUACACAUGCAAGUCGAACGGCAGCACGGGAGCAAUCCUGGUGGCGAGUGGCGAACGGGUGAGUAAUAUAUCGGAACGUGCCCAGUCGUGGGGGAUAACGUAGAGAAAUUUACGCUAAUACCGCAUACGAUCCAAGGAUAGAAAGGCGGGGGACCGUAAGGCCUCGCGCGACUGGAGCGGCUGAUAUCAGAUUAGCUUUGGUGUGAGGUAAAGCUCACCAAGGCGACGAUCUGUAGCUGGUUUGAGAGAACGACCAGCCACACUGGGACUGAGACACGGCCCAGACUCCGUACGGGAGGCAGCAGGUGGGUAAUUUUGGACAGUGGGACGAAAGCCUGUACUCCAGCAAUCGCCGUCGGUGCAAGGGAAGAAAGGUCCGUUCGGGUUUAGUAAACGUUGU
rnacentral:rRNA from 1 species